rnacentral:tRNA from 1 species
GUCUGGUUGGCUUAGCUGGUUAGAGCGUCGGUCUCAUAAAAAUCAGCAUUAUGAUCAAGCGUAGCUUGAGACAUCCGAAGAUCGCGAGUUCGAUCCUCGCACCGGACA